rnacentral:rRNA from 1 species
AAUGAACGUUGGCGGCGUGGAUUAGGCAUGCAAGUCGAGCGCGAACCGUAGCAAUACGGGGAGAGCGGCGAAAGGGAGAGUAAUGCGUGGAUACCUGCCCUCGGGUUCGGGAUAGCUACGGGAAACUGUAGGUAAUACUGAAUAACAUCUUCGGAUCAAAGGUGUGAUUCCGCCCGGGGAGGGGUCCGCGUCCUAUUAGCUAGUUGGUGAGGUAACGGCCCACCAAGGCGAAGAUGGGUAUGGGGUGUGAGAGCAUGACCCCACUCACUGGGACUGAGACACGGCCCAGACACCUACGGGUGGCUGCAGUCGAGAAUCGUCGGCAAUGGGGGAAACCCUGACCGAGCGACGCCGCGUGCGAGAUGAAGGCCUUCGGGUUGUAAAUCGCUGUCAGAGGGGAGGAAAUGCCGGGAAGUAAUUCAUAAUCAACUCGGUUUGACCUAGCCUCAGAGGAAGGACGGGCUAAGUUCGUGCCAGCCGCCGCGGUAA